CGAACGGGUGAGUAACGCGUGAGGAACCUGCCUCAAAGAGGGGGACAACAGUUGGAAACGACUGCUAAUACCGCAUAAGCCCACGGCUCGGCAUCGAGCAGGGGGAAAAGGAGUAAUCCGCUUUGAGAUGGCCUCGCGUCCGAUUAGCUAGUUGGUGAGGUAACGGCCCACCAAGGCGACGAUCGGUAGCCGGACUGAGAGGUUGAACGGCCACAUUGGGACUGAGACACGGCCCAG
rnacentral:rRNA from 1 species